CUAUUCCUUGGGCUAGUUUAGAAAUGUUUGUUUGGAUGAAGAAAGCGUGCAUCUGCAGAAGUAAACAUGUUCUGUGCAUUUUAGAGCCGAAUGAAAUUCUUGAUGACCCCACUUGCACUAAAGGUUUGAGCAGUUAAUGUUUUGUAUGUGUUUCCUUUGGGAGCUGAGGUCCCACAGUGAUGAGAACAGAUCUUCUGCAUUACUGACAGCUCUGGAGAAAGGCGAUGGUGCAGCAGGUCCCAGCCACCAGGAGGAAGGCAGGAAAAUCAACUCCUGAGGCCUGAAGUGAAGCUCCAUAUUCAAGCAGCACCAAUCAUUCCCUGAUUGUCUUGGAGUAUUAUUUGGAAGAAAAGAAAGGGAAAGAAGAAGGACACAGUCAAUAAAGAAAAGCAGAGUCAACAGUCAAGCAAGAUCAAAAUCAAUCACAUGUACACGUGUAGGAAGCAGCUCUCUGCAUCAAAUCCAUGUAGGAGUUCCAUAGGCUUGCAACUUCAGGAAUGUGUAUGCUCCUCCUGCAAGAAGCGAACGGGUCAUUUAAGAGCUCUGUGACUUAGCAUGGAGAUGAAGAGCAACUUGUGAAGCAAACCUAUCAAAGGAGUGUGAGUAGCUACCAGAGCUGCUUAGGCUCUUAAAUUGCAGCUUAUUAUACUGCUGCGGCGAUGGGCAAAAGCCACUGCUAACAACAAAAUCCCCCAAACAAGCAGCGAAAUAAUGGGAAAAGGCCAAUAUUUCAAAUGCUGAGAUUCCCUAGGAAAAGCACGUUUUUCCAGCCUCCCACGGAGAAUGAUCUUCAUCAGCACAUAUGCAUAUCAGGGAUCCACUGAACUGAUAUAAUAGUGCAGUUAUUUUUAUAACACAUUAAGCUCUGAAUUCGUUACUGUUGAACGUGUGUAUUAGAGCAUGGUAUGUAUGUGAAUUCUGAACACUUGGUUUUUAUGAGUUGGAGUAAAUUCAACAAGUGUUAAUUUAUUGUUUCAGACAACGUUGCAAAGAUUUCUUUGUAUUUUCACCAUGCAGGAAUCUGAAUAUUUAGCCAGCAAAACUGCAAGAACUUGUUGCUCUUUCACUAUUAGAGACAAAAACUCGGCCACAUAAGUAAAAAGCCUCAUCUAUAAGCCAAAUAAUGGUGAUGACUGCGUGUUUUGAAAAGGAGGAAAGGCAUCGUAGCCAACUGUAUGAAAGGAAUUGUUUCCAGUUUUCCAUAAUGCAUCAGAAUCCAUGUAAUGCUGUUGUCAGGAACUCCAUCGCUUUAUCUAAGUUUAACUGAUGGAAUAGUACUCACAACACCGCAGCCAGGGCAUGUUCUGAAGUCCACUGAAAUAAAUGAAGGGGAAAAAAGUGAUCUCAGGCUUUGGACUAGGCUUGUAUUGCCAAAUGAAGCUUCUCCAGUUCACUGCAGUGCAGAGAAACUCUGUUUUCCCAAUAGUUUAUCAUAAAAUGCGUCCAGACUGGAGUCUCUGGAAGAUUAACUUAUCUUGAAAAGGCAGCUUGAAUCUCCUUAUUUACACCACCCACUGUUUUAUCCAUCAAAUUAGACUUCCUUCCUUUUAGUGACAAACAGGAGUGGGAAAAGUCAGCCUUACCAUAUAUCCAUGUAUCUAUAGAUGGAUAGAUACAGAUCCCCAUUUUCCCAAGCAUCUCCCACCCGUAAGUACUUUUCCUUGGCUCUCCCUUAUGGGUGUCAGAUGACAUUUCCUCUACUUGACCGCGUGCCUGUAUGACUUCUGUUCUUGUUUGUCUGAAGUUAUGUGGUGUUUUUGUUGGUGUGGGAAGGAUUUCACAUAGCUAGAAAUGAUUUUCAACGUUUUUAUUUAAAACUGACAAUGUCAAAAACCUGUCCCUUUAAAAAAAGAAAUGCAGCAGUGCAAUCUCUUCUGAACUCCUCUCUGUCCUCCACAGUAAUACUGAUUUUUCAGAGGACAAACAACAUAAGGUUUAAACGUAUUUGUUAUUGUUAGAAACUCUUCUACUUACGUUGUAGCCUGAGUAAUUUAUACUAGAAACACAGGUACCAUUUAUUCACAAUUCAGG
ensembl:lncRNA